rnacentral:rRNA from 1 species
AUUGUUCUUCAACGAGGAAUCCCUAGUAAGCGUGAGUCAUCAGCUCACGUUGAUUACGUCCCUGCCCUUUGUACACACCGCCCGUCGCUACUACCGAUUGAAUGGCUUAGUGAGACUCUCGGAUUGAGAUUAAGAACCGGAAACGGAUCUUGUUCUUCGAGAAGUUAGUCAAACUUGGUCAUUUAGAGGAAGUAAAAGUCGUAACAAGGUUUCUGUAGGUGAACCUGCAGAAGGAUCAUUAGAAAAUUUGUAAUCAAAAACCCAAACCAUUUAUAUAUAAUUAAAAGUUUCAAAAAAACUUUAGAUAACUUUCAACAACGGAUCUCUUGGCUCUCGCAUCGAUGAAGAACGCAGCGAAAUGCGAUAAGUAAUGUGAAUUGCAGAUUCCGUGAAUCAUCGAAUCUUUGAACGCAAAUUGCACUCCUUGGUAUUCCGAGGAGUAUGCUUGCUUGAGUGUCCGUUUAAUAAAAAUCGSGGAUUGAAUGUUUGACAUUCGCGGAUUUGGGUUAUCCGAUUCUAAUUAUUUGAGUCUAUUCGAUUCUCGUUUGGAUUUGGAGACCUUAAAUUAAAAAUCAUUUGGUAUGAUUAAAACGGGCUAUUAUUAUUAUGUUAAUGUUGUGUAUUAAUGUAUUAAAGUAGAUCGUUGACAAUCUCACCAGAAUUUUUUACAAUCAAGUUUGGACCUCAAGUCAAGUAAGGAUACCCGCUGAACUUAAGCAUAUCAAUAAGCGGAGGAAAAGAAACUAACAAGGAUUCCCUUAGUAACGGCGAGUGAAGCGGGAAAAGCUCAAAUUUUAAAUCUACCUGGUUCUUCCAAGUCGAGUUGUAAUUUGAAGAAACACUUUCGGAAUUCCGGUCUGGUCUAAAUCCUUUGGAAUGAGGUAUCAUGGAGGGUGAGAAUCCCGUUCCUGAUCAGGCAUCCGUGAGUUUCAAUGUGAAGUGUUUUCUAAGAGUCGAGUUGUUUGGGAUUGCAGCUCAAAAUGGGUGGUAUAUCUCACCUAAGGCUAAAUAUCUGCGAGAGACCGAUAGCGAACAAGUACCGUGAGGGAAAGAUGAAAAGAACUUUGAAAAGAGAGUUAAACAGUACGUGAAAUUGUUGAAAGGGAAACGAUUGAAGUCAGUCAUGCCGGCUGGGAAUCAACCUCAAGUUUUUUUUCUUUAGGUGUACUUCCUUUUCGGCAAGUUAGCAUCGAUUUUAUCGGUCAUAAAAGAAUCAGGGUAAUGUGACUCCUCGGAGUGUUUAUAGACCUUGGUGGAUGUGACCUGUGAGAUCGAGGUUUGCAGCGGACCGCCCUCUCGAGGGUUUAGUCGCCUAGCCUCUGAUUCGUUAUCCUGGUAUUCUUCAGCUUGUCUGUGGGUUUUAGGUUAAACGUUCAAAAGGUUAGAACGAUCUUAAGUUUCGCUAAGGAUGCUGACGUAAUGGCUUUAAACGACCCGUCUUGAAACACGGACCAAGGAGUCUAACAUGUGUGCGAGUGUUC